ensembl:lncRNA
CUCAAGGCUGGAAAAGACUUGAGACCAGACAUGCGCAUUCCAUUUUGGGAAUGAAGACAGAGCAGUCCACAAGUUUAAAGAAGUGGUUCAGGCCAUUCAUUUCUCUACUCACACACAAGAGCACUGACAUGUUCUGGAAGACUUGUGACAGGAGGUGGAGGUCUGGCUCUGGGUGAGGAGGUGGAGGUCUUGCUCUGGGUGAGGAGGUGGACACCUUGGGACAAACUACAUGUUACCUUUUUAACCUUGUACAGUUCUAGAGCAUCUUCUACUGUAACAUGUGGGAAGGACGGCCAUUAUUUUAGCUUUGAUAUUAUCCAGUUGGUAACUCUGCACCAAAGUCGUUUUUUAACGUCAUUCCAUUUGGUAGGGUUUAACUUCUGUGGCAAUUAAUGACAGCAGAUAUUUAGAACGUACAAAAGCUGAAGUAACAAAGAACACUAAGCAUUAUUGAUAUUAAAUCAAAUUUACUCAGCCAUAUUCAGUUGAUGGGUUCCGUUGAAGAAAUGUCAAAUUGUCUUCCACCUUGAAAUGAUUUUCAGCCUUCACCGAUGGUCAGAAAUGGGCCCGCAAGUAGAACGCUGUUCGGUACGCCGCGAGAGUCCCGUCAACGUGAUUAAAAGUAGCCUACGGCGCAACCAUCGGAAAUUAUCAACAUAUUGUACGAUGUACGUGUCAGUAUGUAUUUGAUAUCAAACUUAAGUUGUUUAAAAUAAGGGGCCACAAUUCCCAAUGGAAACUGAAAAAUAGUUUCCGUUGGCAACGGCUCGAGUUUACGCAAAUACAAUCCAGAACGUUCAGCCAGAUUCCUGUCCAACUAACUGCCAGGUGGCUUCUAAUGGUUGUCAAGACUACAACGUUUUAUGCUAAUCAUUGGGACUAAAUCAAGUGACCGCACUCAAAACCUUCCACGGCGGGAAGCACAAACCGUCCGACUGGAAUCCGAACAUUCCGGCCGGAACCAACCAAAGAAAAAACAGAACCAGCGCCUCACCUUGAGCUGAACGGAGGAAGAUCCUGAAGUCCAGCGAUGGUCUUCAUUAAAACACAGCCAACAGACUUACCUUGAGGAGAUCUGUUUGUUGCUGUUGGUCAUAACUACUAUUCAGUGUACCUUUACAUUAUUAUGCACCUAGCGUGUACACGUUAUAUCAAUCAAAACCGUACGAAGAACCAAACUACCAGGUACAUCCCACAACAACAAUUCCUUGCCUAAAAACAAUGGAAUCAUUCAAUACAAAACCGUGUCUACAUUUUACAAUUAUCUAGAUUAUUCAGGGUACAAACCAUACAGAGCAAAUCUAAACGUUGAGCUCCCAGAGAGCCAACCAUAGCCCUGCAACGUCACCCUGACCGACUCAUCACCAACAGCAAAUCAUGCAAGCUAGCCAACACAUGUACAGGUCCAGCGAGAAGUGGGCAUUUGAGCGAAAGGACUGCCCAUAAUAAAAUAAAGCCCAAUUCCUGAACUAUCCAACCAGCUUCAUGGUUGAAAGAUUUACAGACUCGACAUGCCAUUGUGUUCUAAUCACCUUUGUCUGCUCCCUCAUUACUUAUAAAACUCUACAUCUCCAUUGCUAGAGUGUUGCAUCCUACUCAUGAGGGUGUGGUCUGAGUGAGCAGAGAUGCAUGCUGGGAUACAGUGCUGUCUGAAGUCUUCAGUUCUAUAGACAAGCCCCUCAGGAGAAACCAAGUGUUUGAGAAUCUGUCGCGACAUAAGUUACAUGCGCUGGAAUAUCCUUCAAGAUGGCGCCAGGAUUCUCAGAGGAGAAAGGCCAAGAGGAAGAUGUGAGGGUUCUUCCUCCCAGCCAGUGGAACACAACAACGGCCUUCAGAGUACCAUGGAACACUUUGAAACAGUCUCCUCCUCACACCUUGAAGCCCCAGUGAAGGUUUCCUUAACUCCUCAGCUGAAGAGCACAACUUCAGCUCGAAGAGUGCACUAGUUGGAGUGCCCAGAUUGGUUCUGAUUUAAGGGAACCAAUCGUUCAGCUUGUCCAGUCCGAAACAAAUACAGUUCAGCCUGAGAAGACGUGCAACUGUGAGCAAGACAAGAUCCACAGGGCUCUCCAUCAAUCCAGCCAGGUAGGAAGAGCCGUCUCAUUACAGGUCUGAAGGUCAUCUUGAAUAUCCAUUGAGGUCCCUUUCCAACAUCAGACUCUCCUUGUGGAAUGCCUUUAGGUGUCCUUCCUCCAUUGAUCCUGAUUGGUGUAGUCCUAUUUUGAAUUCACUGAUCUGAACAUGCCGCUUGCACCCUUUUACACUUGAUUUGGAUACUCUCCUUCCCGCACAGUGUGUUGGAUAUCGUUGCUCCGGGCUCUUCAUGUCUACUGGAGGCCUCAAGUAAACGUGUGGCCGUCCAUCAGGUGUGAUUUAUUUGACCAUUCCAAUAUCCCAAGCCAAUCACACAGACCCCCGUAUGAACAUUAUCACUGUCAAAGCAAGCCGGAAACACACUCAUAGAACCCAGGACACACACACGUAGAACCCCAAGCCAGGUGUGAGUGGGAGACAAACACACACACAGCACUUAGCAAUGCUCAAAAAACAUCCAUCUCAUGUCAAACCAACACACACCACUGAGCCAUGAAAGUCAAAACAAUCAUGCAGGGUAACCAGGGUAACCUCAUGCCAAAUAUCAUUCCAUCAUCCACCCCUAGCUCUCCUGCCAGGGCACCCAGAAAAGAACAACCAAUGUCUCCAGAGACGUAAAUUAUUCUUCAGUGGCGUCCCACAUUGAUGAUGGAUAUUGCUUGCCGUCUCCAAAAUGUGUCCCAGGUUGAUUCAACGUCUCUGAAGUCAUGCGUUUGUAGUCCAGUAGUUUCCUGAAUGAGGGGCCUUCACAGAUGCAAACGGUGCAGCUUUAGUCAGCCUGAGGACAGGACGGAGGUCAUCUGUUCAGAAGACCACCCAGUGGAGGGGGUUGGCUCUUGAGGAGCAGGAUCCAUCUGGGGAUGGCCCCAAAUAAGACCUUCUUGGAAAUGAAACUGUUCCUGAGGAGUCACGAUGCCUGGAGGGGACUGUUUAAUGUGUUCCAUGGUUCUGUGUCAGACUGAAGUUGUGUUUUAGUCGUUGAGAUGAGGAGCCCCCUCUUCUCCCCCUGGCGUUUCUCCUACUGAAUCCCUGUCUCCAUCUUAAAGAACAUUCUAGUUCAUGUAACGGACGUCACAACGGUUUCUCAAACACUCGGUAUCCCCUGAGGGGGCGUGUCUACAGACCUGUAGACUUGAGACAGCUCUGUAUCCCAGUAUGCACCUCCACUCACUCAGACCACACCCUCAUCAGUAAAGCAACACUCAUGUAAUUAAGAUGCAGAGCUCAGGAGAGUAGCUGGAAAGAAGACUGAAGACAUCAGAACACAACCCAUUACUCCAGCUUACAACAAUAACUUAGAACCUGAAACCAUUUUAACAAACCAUUAAAACCAAACGCCUAAGUAAUGAGCAUUGCCUAAGCAUGAACCAAUAAAACAUCCUACACCAGUGGUUCUAAACCUUUUUUGAGCAAACGCCCCCCUGACCCUCUGGCGCCCCCCGCCAAUAAGAAAAUAAACGAACAACCCCACUCACGUUAUAUUGCUUGAAGUUGUCAAUGCAUCGUUUUUCAUGACACACACACAGAGAGAGAGCGAGAGCGAGAGAGAGCGAAAGCGAGACCAGAAAAGAACCAGAUGUCUGGGAAACACAUUGCACUUCACAAUAGGAACACAUAAAAUAGUAAACUGUUUUGACCAAUGGGAAAAGCAUUCAAUUGAAAUUGCGAACACUGAAUUUUGUAAAAGCAUUCUGCAGGUACAUAGGACAACCACUAACAACGCCUGCAGAGCUGAAUUAGGCCAGUAUCCACUUCUAUUAAAAAUCCAAAAACGAUCAAUUAAAUAUUGACUACAUCUAAAACAAAGAGUCCCCUCACUCAGCUGGUCCUGAGGCUCUGUCCACAGACAGGUUCCCCCUCUGCUCAGACACAGGACCAGUCGGAGCACAUACCGAUUAGACUCAACCAAAUUAUAAAACAUCAGAAACAAACCUGCCUCACCCAUUGGAACACUAAAACACACACACAGAGCAAAAUGCAGGGUUAUCUGGCCCUAAAUAGACGGUACACUGUGGCCCGCACGCAGAGGCCUAAUAAGCCCUAUAUAUUUUGUAUUUGAAAUGCAACGGCCUUUUCGUGGAGACUACGCUCAGAGCAGCUGGAACUGCCAUGUUUGAUUGUGUUGGUUAUUGAACUGUUAACCCGCAAACUUGGGUUAUGUUUAUCAGCGUUACUAUUGAGAUCAUGACGAUAGCUGAUGUAACGGGCGUGUGCAGGGCCGAACCGUCCUGUAUUAUCACUGUUCCACUGCGCAUAGACAGUAAAAAGUAGCUGAGACGGUAGAGGGGUUAGAAACCAAUAACUGAAAAUAGGCUAUUUAUUUCAGGUAGCCUAUUUUUUCACCCAAAAAAAAAAAAUGGAAUCACGUUCCCAGCGCCCCCCUAGAUUUGCGAACGCCCCUGUUGAGAAACCAUGUCCUACACAGGUCAACCUUCAGGUAAUGGGUUAACUCACCAGGAAGCCAAAAUACAUCAAUGUGCCCAAGAGUAAUGAGAAACUAAUGACUUACAGUUUGCAGUUCAUCUUCAUGGUUAAGUUGGGA